rnacentral:lncRNA from 13 species
AUUAGCUAGGUGAAGAGGUGGGCAAACACCAUCAUAGCUGAUUUGUACAUGUCGAGUCUACACUUUUCUGUCUAAACAUCUUAUCAGAUACUACUGAUUAUUCAGUAUCUCGUCUCUCUUUUCACCAAGUGAAAUCCAAUGUUAUUUCAAACGAAAAUGUUCUCACUUAAAGAUACAAGACUCAUUUCAGGUUUUUUUUUUUUUAAGUAAACAAACAUAACCCAAACCAAACAAAGCCAACAUACAAGGAAGGAACAAACCAAGGAAGGCAGAAAAGGCAGUAGAAAAUGACUUCCCGAACGAGGGGACUCAAGAUGGCGCUGUGAGAACAACCCAGGAUUGGAGCCCGCAUUGAAUUCGCAAACGCUCUCCCUCUACCACACCAAUCUCCUGAUCCAGGAUUCGUAAUACUGCUGGAGAUGUUUGUUUGGGGCUUCCUCAGUAGUGAGCUGACCCCCACGUCAGUCCUGAUUCACUGACUCUCCACCAGUGCACCUUUCUGGGGAAUUUAGAAGGCCUAGGUGAGUUGACAUUUUCUUUGGUUUUGGACUCUUGCUUACAGUAUUACAAUAAGUGAUUAAAGGCUUGAUUUGUUACUUUAAUCUUGGCCUGCUGCUUUAAUCAGCUUCUCUAACAAUGGGCAGCUGACUUCUCUAUCUGGCUCAGUUGAGUUUCUGACACUGCUACUCCAGGUCAUCCAAUGGUUUUGUUUAAAACACCUUAUAUAAAAUCGUUUCCAGUUUAAAAUCCUUAAGGUGCUUUCUUUUUCCUGUGUUGAACUAUUGCCUCUGCAGAAUUUGUUACCUUUAAUUUGAGCUGUUUUGGAUUAGUGGUCAAGCAGAUAUUGUAGGCUGUAAAGGUCAUCCUUGUCAUAAAAUGAGAAACAUUUGGUAAAAUUAAUCCUGCAGUACCUUGAAAAUAAGUGUGAACUACUGAGUUUGAAACUCUUAAGAGAAUAAGUUAGAAAAAAAUCAGAAUCCUUAUGGGUUAUAAAUUCUACUUACUGCUUUUAAGGAAAUAUUAGAAAGAUAUAAACUAAAGAAAGAAUGAACUUGUUUGAAAGCAGAGAUGAAAAGAACUCAACUCUGCUAAGGAUGGUUUUUCCUG